AGACCCGAAACCCGGUGAUCUAGCCAUGGGCAGGUUGAAGGUUGGGUAACACUAACUGGAGGACCGAACCGACUAAUGUUGAAAAAUUAGCGGAUGACCUGUGGCUGGGGGUGAAAGGCCAAUCAAACCGGGAGAUAGCUGGUUCUCCCCGAAAGCUAUUUAGGUAGCGCCUCGUGAAUUCAUCUCCGGGGGUAGAGCACUGUUUCGGCUAGGGGGCCAUCCCGGCUUACCAACCCGAUGCAAACUGCGAAUACCGGAGAAUGUUAUCACGGGAGACACACGGCGGGUGCUAACGUCCGUCGUGAAGAGGGAAACAACCCAGACCGCCAGCUAAGGUCCCAAAGUCAUGGUUAAGUGGGAAACGAUGUGGGAAGGCCCAGACAGCCAGGAUGUUGGCUUAGAAGCAGCCAUCAUUUAAAGAAAGCGUAAUAGCUCACUGGUCGAGUCGGCCUGCGCGGAAGAUGUAACGGGGCUAAACCAUGCACCGAAGCUGCGGCAGCGAACGUAUCACUUAAAGCGAUUCAGCGGGUUACGAUUGACGGAGCGAAGCGACGUCAAAGCGUAUACAAAGUCGAGUCGGUUUAAGGAUACGUUCGUUGGGUAGGGGAGCGUUCUGUAAGCCUGUGAAGGUGGCCUGUGAGGGUUGCUGGAGGUAUCAGAAGUGCGAAUGCUGACAUAAGUAACGAUAAAGCGGGUGAAAAGCCCGCUCGCCGGAAGACCAAGGGUUCCUGUCCAACGUUAAUCGG
rnacentral:rRNA from 1 species